rnacentral:rRNA from 1 species
GUACGGCGGAUGCCUUGGCGAUAUCAGCCGAUGAAGGACGCGGUAAGCUGCGAUAAGCUACGGAGAGGUGCAAGCAACCUUUGACCCGUAGAUUUCCGAAUGGGGGAACCUGGCAGUGGUUAUGCACUGUCACCCAUACCUUUGAGUAUGAGGAGGGCACCUGGGGAACUGAAACAUCUAAUUACCCGGAGGAAAAGUAAUCAAACGAGAUUUUCUUAGUAGCGGCGAGCGAACGGGAAAGAGCCCAAACCGGAGCGGGCAACCGCACCGGGGUUGAGGACAGUCAUCAAGUGUAAAUGAGGUAGAAGAAUCAUGCUGGAAAGCAUAGCCGCAGAAGGUGAAAGCCCUGUAAUCGAAACCUUGCAUACAUGUGACUGUAUCCAGAGUACCACGAGACACGUGAAACCUUGUGGGAAGCAGGGGGGACCACCCUCCAAGCCAAAAUACUGAUAUCGACCGAUAGCGCAUAGUACCGUGAGGGAAAGGUGAAAAGAACCCCUGGCGGGGAGUGAAAGAGAACCUGAAACCGUAUGUCUACAAACAGUCGAAGUCUGUAUAUAUAUCAGGACGACGGCGUGCCUAUUGAAGAAUGAACCGACGAGUUACUGUUGCUAGCGAGGUUAAGUGGAAAACAUGGAGCCGCAGCGAAAGCGAGUCUGAACAGGGCGUUCAGUUAGUGAUAGUAGACCCGAAACCGUAGUGAUCUAUCCAUGGCCAGGUUGAAGCACAGGUAAAAUUGUGUGGAGGACCGAACUCGUGAGCGUUGAAAAGCUUUGGGAUGAGUUGUGGAUAGGGGUGAAAUGCCAAUCGAACACGGAGAUAGCUGGUUCUCCCCGAAAUAGCUUUAGGGCUAGCCUCGAGGUUGAGAGUAUAGGCGGUAGAGCACUGAUCGGGCUAGGGGCCAUACCGGUUACCGAACCUAGUCAAACUACGAAUGGCUAUACUUAUACUCGGG